CCGGGAAAGGGCGGCGGGCCCGGGGGCCUGCGGCUGCCGGGGAAAGGACCAGGGAUUCCGGGGUUCCGGGGAGCGAGCCGCCGGCGAGCGCAGGCGAGGCGGAGGACGGUAGCCCCGGCAGGCCCCGGAUCCCCCGGUUCAACUGUCUUAAACAAAAAAGAAAAUGGAUUAUCUCGUAUAACAAUAAACCUGGAGCUCCUCACUGUAUCUCCUAAUAUCUUUGUAAUUUCUUAAUGAUAGGAGCUAUAGGAGCAACUUUUCCUGAAAUAUUGGGCUUAGUCCCUGACUGCUGAAACAGGUCCAGAAUGGUUGGAGUGCAGUGGUAUAACCACAGCUCAUUGCAGC